rnacentral:lncRNA from 1 species
UAUUUAAUGUAAUAGUUUAUUUAAAUAUGAUAAAAGAUCCAAAUUUUAGAGAUUUUAAGGAGAAAUGACAUAAUGGAGAGUGAUACUCCACUCCCCGUUCCCAACUCACAUGUUAAUAUAUUUGUUCUUUUAUUUUCAUAAAAAAAGGUCAUUAUGCAAAAAUUAAUCUAACGGUUAAUAUAUUUGUUCUUAAUCGUCAUCUCUCUCCUUUAGACAUUUGUUUUCUUCAGGAGUAUUUUAUCUCAUGUCCCCGUAUGAAAAAAUUUCACANN